rnacentral:rRNA from 1 species
GAUGAACGCUGGCGGCGUGCCUAAUACAUGCAAGUCGAGCGAACAGAUGAGGAGCUUGCUCCUCUGACGUUAGCGGCGGACGGGUGAGUAACACGUGGAUAACCUACCUAUAAGACUGGAUAACUUCGGGAAACCGGAGCUAAUACCGGAUAAUAUAUUGAACCGCAUGGUUCAAUAGUGAAAGACGGUUUUGCUGUCACUUAUAGAUGGAUCCGCGCCGCAUUAGCUAGUUGGUAAGGUAACGGCUUACCAAGGCAACGAUGCGUAGCCGGCCUGAGAGGGUGAUCCGGCCCACUUGAACUGAGAAACGGUCCCGACCCCUAAGGGAGGGAGCAGUGGGGAAUAUUGCCCAAUGGGGGGAAGCCUGAACGGGGAAAGGCGCGUGGGUGAAUAAGGUCUUUGGAUUGUAAAACCCUUUUAAUUGGGAAGAAAAAAAGGUGGAAAAAACUUUGCCGUUUUUACGGGACCAAAAGAAGAAACCCCGGCUAACUUCGUG